rnacentral:rRNA from 1 species
UGGGGAAUUUUGGACGAUGGGCGCAAGCCUGAUCCAGCCAUGCCGCGUGCAGGAUGAAGGCCUUCGUGUUGUAAACUGCUUUUGUACGGAACGAAAAGACUCCUUCUAAUAUAUGGGGUCCAUGACGGUACCGUAAGAAUAAGCACCGGCUAACUACGUGCCAGCAGCCGCGGUAAUACGUAGGGUGCGAGCGUUAAUCGGAAUUACUGGGCGUAAAGCGUGCGCAGGCGGUUAUAUAAGACAGAUGUGAAAUCCCCGGGCUCAACCGGGGACCUGCAUUUGUGACUGUAUAGCUAGGGUACGGUAGAGGGGGAUGGAAUCCCGCGUGUAGCAGUGAAAUGCGUGGAUAUGCGGAGGAACACCGAGGGCGAAGGCAAUCCCCUGAACCUGUACUGACGCUCAUGCACGAAAGCGUGGGGGGAAAACA